GACGAACGCUGGCGGCGUGCUUAACACAUGCAAGUCGAACGGAAAGGCCCUGCUUUUGUGGGGUGCUCGAGUGGCGAACGGGUGAGUAACACGUGAGUAACCUGCCCUUGACUUUGGGAUAACUUCAGGAAACUGGGGCUAAUACCGGAUAGGAGCUCCUGCUGCAUGGUGGGGGUUGGAAAGUUUCGGCGGUUGGGGAUGGACUCGCGGCUUAUCAGCUUGUUGGUGGGGUAGUGGCUUACCAAGGCUUCGACGGGUAGCCGGCCUGAGAGGGUGACCGGCCACAUUGGGACUGAGAUACGGCCCAGACUCCUACGGGAGGCAGCAGUGGGGAAUAUUGCACAAUGGGCGGAAGCCUGAUGCAGCAACGCCGCGUGCGGGAUGACGGCCUUCGGGUUGUAAACCGCUUUCGCCGGUGACGAAGCGUGAGUGACGGUAAUGGGUAAAGAAGCACCGGCUAACUACGUG
rnacentral:rRNA from 1 species